UACAGAGGGGGCAAGCGUUAUUCGGAAUUAUUGGGCGUAAAGGGCGCGUAGGCGGCUUGGCAAGUGGAGGGUGAAAUCCCUCGGCUUAACCGAGGAACUGCCCUCCAAACUGCUUUGCUUGAGGCCGGGAGAGGUGAGUGGAAUUCCCAGUGUAGCGGUGAAAUGCGUAGAUAUUGGGAGGAACACCAGUGGCGAAGGCGGCUCACUGGACCGGUUCUGACGCUGAUGCGCGAAAGCGUGGGUAGCAAACAGG
rnacentral:rRNA from 1 species